CAGAAUCCUGAAGUGAUGAUUAAUACAUUGAUCCUUGUUUUGUGUUUGGUGAGCAGCGGUGUUAGUCCUAUAGUUUAUGGUAUUGAAAAUAUAUUCAAAGAAGAUUUGGAGCUAGACCGACAACUAAAGCUCAUUAACAAACCUCCUGUCAAAACUAUUCAUACAGAACAUGGAGACAUUGUUGAUUGUAUUGAUAUUAACAAACAACCUGCCUUUGAUCAUCCUUUGCUUAAGAAUCAUAAACUUCAGGAAAAACCUAACUUUCAAAGACCAAUUGGAAAAAUAAGUGGGAAAAAAUUAUCGGGUAGAUCUAUGUUUGGAUUUGAUAAACACCAUUGUUAUAAAGGGACAGUUCCUAUUCUCAGAACAACAAAAGAAAAUCUCAUUCGAGAAAAAAAAUUAUUAAAUAGUAGUAUUUUCGUUAAAGAUAUUUCCGGUGUUCAUCUUGCAGAGAUAGCUGUCUCAUCAAAAUUUGGUCCAUACUUCAGCAUUGAUGCAAAUAAUAUUGUUUAUAAUCCAACUGUCACUAAGGGUCAAAUGUCUCUUUCUCAUAUAUGGGUUCAAAAUGGACCAAUAAAUACAAAUAAUAAAAUUAGUAUGGGAUGGCAUGUGUCUCCGGAAUUGUAUGGUGACUAUGAUACCCACGAGUAUGCAACAUGGACGUCAGAUAAUUAUCAUAGGACGGGAUGCUUCAACCUAAGAUGUCCAGGUUUUGUUCAAACUCAUAGUGGAUUGCAUCUUGGUAAACGUCUCACAAAUGUAUCAUUCUACGGUGGACCACUUUAUUCUUUUCGUAGUUCUAUCAGUCAGGAUCCAUCGACUAAAAACUGGUGGGUAGGUAUACAAGAUUUUUAUAUUGGAUAUUAUCCAGCAGAAUUGUUUUCCAAUUUGGGUUCAGCAGAUAAAGUAGGAUUGGGCGGAAGGACAUCAACUGCCCCUGGCUCUCCUAGUCCUCCAAUGGGAUCUGGACAUUUUCCUGGAAAUUUUUUUCAUUCAAGUUUCUUUGACUUGAUCUUUGUUCAGAAUGCUUCAAGAAGAAAUUAUGGACCUGAAAAGUAUCAAACAGAACACUACCUUGACAAACCUAAAUGUUAUGGUCUUAAGUAUUUUGGUAAUCUUCAUCAAAACGUAGGAUGUGCUCUUCAAUUUGGAGGACCUGGUGGUAAUUGUGGCGAUU
rnacentral:sRNA from 1 species